rnacentral:sRNA from 1 species
AUGUUCUCAAUACUGUACGUCCACCAAUGCCGCACCGAACCCCAUGAAACAAAAGAAAAAGGGUGAAAAUAAACCAUCAGGAAAUCCGAUCAUCGCUCCCGUAACUUGUCCCGCUCACACUGCGAAAAUACAUACACAUACCAACUAAUACAAUGCCACCACCACCACCGUACCACCAACGACAACAAUCCUCCUAUAACCACCAUAACAAUCCCAACACAAAUCCCAACAAUAAUAAUUACCAAUCCCACUCGCGAACCUCCUCCGCCACUGCCAUGGCCGCAUAUACAGCCAGCCUCACCAACCUCAACCCUUCCUCUGCCGCAACCACAUCCGCAACCUCAACCUCGCACCCUCCCGCACAACAACAAACUUCCAUGUCUACGACCAAAACACGCCAAUACGCCCAUCUACAUUCACAACUUGCACAGCUUAACGCACAUUUGGCCGACAUGGAGAAUCUCAUACGCAUGACGGCGG